CCAUCAUUAGAGCAAGGUGAUCCUGAGACCAACCGACACCUCGCAUUAUUACCAUGUAAGUACAAGCUCAGCAAUUUGGUAUUACCACAUAAAUAUUGUUAAGUGACGAUAAAUUGGCAAUCUAAGAGCAAUGGCAAAUUAACCAGUCAUGUCAAGAAUCAAGAUCAGUCCGUAAUACAACCUAUAAUUCCACAUGCUUCUUUUUGCAGAUCAUUCAAAUGUAAUUAAAGGUGAAGGUGAUUAUCAACCGGUGAUAAAGAUUCAAACUCAGUCUAUCAUGAUAUAUUAACACAACAACAGGUUUAUCCAAACAAUAUGCCCUCCCUAGAAAAGCCAAAAUCUAGUCCAGAAAUAUCUCAUUCAUUUAAUUGGGUCCUAGACAAAAAAGCAAAGCUAAACCAGGCAUAAGUUAUCUUCCGAUCACUCAUUUGUUUUCCUAGGUUUUUUUUCCAUCACAAAACAGUUAAAAAUGAAAGGAAACACAGGAUUUGUCCAUUUUGCUGCCAAGAUGGAUAAAAAGAGAAAAGAAAGCAUAAAUCAAGUAAACACCAGUUCAAUUCUUUCCAUCAUCAAAGAACAAGGACAAGAAAAGCAAAUUGCACACUGAAACAGAGCAAAUAACUAACCAAAACAAAUGAUCCAACGCAUGCCCUCAAUCCAAAAUCCAAAAAUUGCUCAAAAUCAUGCCACAGAAGAAAAGACACCAACAAAGAAGAACGCUCUAAUUGUGUUGAGGCUGUCACUUUGCACUUGGAGCUUGCGAAAGCCAGCGGGGAUGGCUAGUUCAAUCCCGUACUUCACUGCCUGAGCUUGAUUAUUCGAUGUUUGAAUAUAUUAUUUUGAUGUUAUUUAUGUAAAAAAUAAUAUUAAAAAAAUAUUAUUAAAGUUUAUAUGUUGUCGUAAUGACUGCGUAAUAGGUUUACUAUUUAAAGAUAAAAGCAAAGUAUUCGUUUAUCGAAAAUAAAAUUAUAUUAAAAUGUCCCCAAAUAAACAGGGGAUAGGGUUAGGGUGGGCCAUGCGUUAGCUCAUCUUCGGCUGGCUGGGCUGCCGCUGCUGCCUCCUGAGUUAACUUACCAUGUGUAGAUCUGAUUCUGUGAUCUUGAUUAGUGUCUUUGGUGGGCUUUUUUAUUGUCAUUUCUCAUAGUUUGGAGAAUGCUUUUGUUUCUCCUUCGUGGGAUGUAGAGGUUAUCAAGAGUUUCAUGCCUUCAUGGAAUUCUAUUGUUACUAAAUCACACUUCUGGUUGAUAGAUUUUCUCAAAUUCCUAUUUUAUUUUGGUCUCUAUUUUUGACAUUAUGGAGUGCACAUGUACCAAUUUAUAAUUUCUUACUUUAAUCUUGGUUAGCUUGGGUUCAUCAUUGUUAUUAAUAACUUUUAUCCUAGUAAUUGAGAAUAUUUUGAUAUUAA
rnacentral:misc_RNA from 1 species